rfam:Dorea sp. CAG:105 genomic scaffold, scf113
AUCCGCCCGGAUGCAACACUCCACUCAUUGUUGCAUUUUCAGGGAAAGAAAAGGAGGAAAUCCGUCAGGCUUGCGGUGCGACAGUGUGGAGACCUGUCGUAAUGUGGCGCGGAAGAAAUCGCCGGUCACGAGAUGAUACAUUGCGGAGGCAGUAUUAUUAAAGUCUUAAUUUAUGUCA